GCACUAAUGGUCCAAUGGUCAGGAUCCUUGCCUUCCAUGAGAUAGCAAGGGGUCGGCGUUCGAUUCGCCGUUAGUGCA